rnacentral:tRNA from 1 species
AGGCGCUGGUUUUAGGCACCAGUCUCUUCGGAGACGUGGGUUCGAAUCCCACUCUCGUCA